ensembl:lncRNA
GGGCUAUUACAGCCUAUUGCCCUCUCUGGGGACCAUGAUGCCCUGCUGGUUCUGUGUGUGAGCGUGUGAGAGACAGCAGACAGCGAGCAGAUGGCUGUCUGUGUCCUGCAGUGUCUGCGUCUCUCUUCUGCAGAGAUGGCUAAACUCAAACUGAAACAUUGGCUCAGCGUCAAAAUCUGUGCUGUCAUAGUAACUCUGUUCCUUAUUCAUACACAAGUUAUAAGACAAAGCAAGUUGAUGCGAACAGAAAAGCGAGAGCUCCUGGUGUCCACAGAGAUCCCAGCAGAACACAUUGACCCCGCCUCCAUAGAUCUUACUGGACUCGUCAACACACUCAUCAAUGCUUCACAACCAGUCUCAGACUUUCAGGACAUUGAGAGCAGUUUAUUUCCAUUGAGAUACUGUUACUGUCUGACCAACAAGACCAAUGACCUCACAGAUUUCACAGCUAUUUUGUUGGAUGUAAUGGGAAAUUACACCAGUUAUUUGCAAGAACUAUUUAAGUCCAGCUCUAUCCUCUCAGUCAGUCAGAAGAACAGCUCUGACUGCAUCUAUAUCUGUGUCAUGGCUGGAAAGUCAGACAGUGAUCUGUCUCAGCUGUGGGACAUGGGCUCAGUCACACCUCUGUUUAAUUAGACCAUCACAGAGGAAAUACCCAGAGGUAAUAUAACAUUUCCAUUGCUGCCCUUUGUAAUGUGGCAUGACCUACCAAACACUAGUGACCUGGUACCAUGGCCUUAAGCCAUUACCAACUCCUACAGCACUCCCAGUGCAGAUUCCCACAGGAGCAGAGUACCAACCUCUACAAUGACAUCAUCACCUCUUAUUAGAUCAACAGCAGCUCCUGAAACUACUGUCCCUGUGACGACCACCGCCACUGUUUCUGUGACAACCACACUCAUUAGUGAUCUCACAACUGCUGUGAACACCCAGGCAAAAGCUGUAACGGUAACCACACACACCAUCGCUCCCAUGGUGAAGGUGACAAUUUCACUGCCAACGACAAGCAUCCAGCAGCUCACUAAAGUGUCUCAUUCAGAAAAACCAGGAUGUCCAUGGCGACUAGAGCUAUUUCAUCAAGGAGGUGAGAAAGAGGACCUGAAAGAGACUCUUGAAGAGGAGCUGAUCUGGGGCAGGGUGACCAUUAGCUCAGUGAAGCUGCAGCCAUGUGUGUUUGAGCUGUGCAAGUUUUACUCUCAGUGUGUGUGCAGAGGAUUCAGUCACAGAGCAGCAGCUUUACAGGGAUACUGUGUGGACAGCCAUCGCUGGUAUGACAGACACACAGCAGAGGUCUGCAGUCGUAUGAGGAGAGUCACUUUUUCCAAAAAUCUGAAGCAGAAAUGUCUGGCAAGAAUGUGUGUGAAGAUGCAAGACGAAAGCUGAGCUUCAUUUGCAGGUGACAGACAUCUGAACCAUCUGAACUGAAGAAUUUGUUUAUGUAUGUGUGAGAGAAACUGGGUUCUGUUAAACACUGAACAGCAUUGUCAUCAUCUGUAAAUCAAAAAUCUGUAUAGUCUGUGCAUCUAGUGCCCAAAUUGCACUUUGUCUCUCCUGAAUAUUAAUAAAACCGAAUAUAUAUUUACCCAUGUUUUUUGUAGUUUUACACCAACAAACAUGCUAAAAUCAAACCUGGAAGCACCUGAAAAAAAAAAAAAAAACUUUUUAUAAAAGCCAUUCUGUAUUGAGAAAUAUCCCUAAAAUUUGUUCAGUGUAAAUAAAAAUGGAUUAAUACACC